rnacentral:lncRNA from 1 species
GGAGGGGGGACACGUGACCGCCCGGCCAGGCGGCCCGGCGCGCCCCAUUCGCGAUGGGCACCCCAUCUUCCUCCUGGAAAAGCCGGGGGACACAGAGAAGGCGGAGGAGCACGCGGGGUGCAGGAGAGCCUACCAGCCCCUUUAGCCGCAGUGCUGGUGAUUCCGGCCGCUGAACCCGGAGAGGAAAGGCUCCCACGCGGCCAGCCGGCCUUGACUGUCCUCUCGCCCUGCCCUUGGCCGCAGUACCCUCCCCUCGGCUGCAGUAACCGCCCCCUACACCUCCAGGCAAGGGCACGCUCAGUGUAGACCACUGCCACUUCAUAGAUGCCAGUGCCACUUAAGAGUGGUGUUGGGUUUUUUUUUUUUCCUUUCCUCCUCUCUGCACACCAGCACAUUGUACCCGAGAGAAACUCACGGCGGUGCACUGCAGACACCGCCCAGCUCCAGGGCCCGAAGACCCUCCGACCAGGCCCCGGGAUGCCUGAGGUCUCCCAGGUCAUUACGUGGAGGAACUCAGGCCUGCUCCCUGCGCAGGAGGAGGAGGCGUCGCGGGAGCUGCAGUCCCCGAUCCUUCCCAGGAAGCCGGCCGGGUGGAAGGGGAGAGGGCCGUUAUCGUGGUGCGAAUCCAACUCGCAGCCUCUGGGAGCACGUUGCUAAUAAAGGUCAAAUUAAAACAACUAAGUGGUGCCGGCAGGGACGCGCCGCAUGGUCAGGAGAAGCCCGGCUAUUAAUCAUCCAUAAGGAGCAUUGCUCUUCUGGUGUGGGAGAAUGGGGCUGUGCGACAGCCCCCCGGAGUUGCGCUCUGCUCUGAACCCUAAGCUCCCCCAGAGCAAGUGGAUUGCGCAGCCUAUUACCCCACCUCCCCACGGCCCCCUCUUGGGGCGGCACCACCCUAGAUGGCAGGAAUUCGGAGAAAAUGCGGUGUCACGUCCGCCGCUAUGCCCGCACACGCGUCUGCGCCAACUCCAGCAACACGUGGGGACCGUGAAUCUGGGCGUCUGCUCUCCACUUAGGUGGUUAUGUGGGUAUACUUAUAUGAUUACUGAUUAAAACCAAAUUGGACGGAGAA